rnacentral:tRNA from 3 species
GGUUUUGUAGCUCAGUUGGUAGAGCAAUUGAUUGAAGCUCAAUGUGUCGGCGGUUCAACUCCGUCCAAAACCACCA